GACGAACGCUGGCGGCGUGCCUAAUACAUGCAAGUCGAACGCAUUUUCUUUCACCGUAGCUUGCUACACCGAAAGAAAAUGAGUGGCGAACGGGUGAGUAACACGUGGGUAACCUGCCCAUCAGCGGGGGAUAACACUUGGAAACAGGUGCUAAUACCGCAUAAUUCCAUUUACCGCAUGGUAGAUGGAUGAAAGGCGCUUUUGCGUCACUGAUGGAUGUACCGGCGCUGCAUUAGCUAGUUGGUGGGGUAACGGGCUACCAAGGGUACGAGACAUAGCCGACCGGAGAGGGGGAGGGGCCACCAGGGAACGGAGACAGGGUCCAGACCCCUAGGGGAGGAAGAGGAGGGGAAUAUUCGGCAAUGGGCGAAAGCCUGACGGAGCAAGACCGCGGAGGGGAGGAAGGUCGUCGGAUCGUAAAACUCUGUGAUGAGGGAAGAAAAUAAGUGGAAGUAACAGUGCACAUCUUGACGGUACCUAAUCAGAAAGCCACGGCUAACUACGUG
rnacentral:rRNA from 1 species